ACGCUCGACACCUACGGGAUGCAGCAGUGAGGAAUAUUGGUCAAUGGACGCAAGUCUGAACCAGCCAUGCCGCGUGCAGGAUGACGGCUCUAUGAGUUGUAAACUGCUUUUGUACGAGGGUAAACGCAGAUACGUGUAUCUGUCUGAAAGUAUCGUACGAAUAAGGAUCGGCUAACUCCGUGCCAACAGCCGCGGUAAUCUGAGCGGGCUGGCAAGGC
rnacentral:rRNA from 1 species